UCCUCCCUCAAACCCCGGGUUUGGUGUUGGACCCGAGUUGUGCAUCUGAACAACUGGUCUCAAAGACAAUGACGGCGUCCGUGGGACCCUCGGUGCAACGAGCUUUUUAGGAGCACGCGUCGAGUUUCAAGGUCCUUCCGGGCCGGUCUCCUUUUACUUUUUAA
rnacentral:misc_RNA from 1 species